UUAUAAUUAAGAAUUUUAUUAAUAAGAAAUUAAAUGUAAUCAUUAAAUUUAAAAAAUUUGGCGGUAUUUUAAAUAAUUAGAGGAAUUUGUUAAUUAAAUGAUAGUCCACGAGUGGAGGGUCCUGAUAAAGUUUUUAUGUAUUGUUGUAUUAAAAUUAUUUUAUAAGAAAAAUAAUUAAUAAAUUUGAUUUAAUUUGAAUUCAAAUCAAAAUGUAGAAUUAUUAGGUUUAAAUGAAUUACAGUUUAAUUUAAUAAUGGAAUUAUUUUUUUAAAAAAAUGAUGAAAAAGGAUUUAAUAGUAAAUUUAAGAAAAUUUUUAGAUUGAAAGAUAAAUUAAAAUA
rnacentral:rRNA from 1 species